CCUGGAUCCCGGCCAGGGCCUCGCGUGCGAGCAGAGCCGCCAACGCGCCCCACCCCCAGGCCUGUGGCAAGACAGAAAGAAACCAAGCAAAUGCAGGAGCCGGGGGCGGGGGCCAGCUUUCCCGGAAAUCCAUGUCCUGCAGUGGACAGACCCAGGUCCGAAGACCAGCUGAACGGAACAGGUGCCUAGUAAAGCCUGGCACUAUCUCAGCGUCAAGCGAAGGGCCCUGAGGCUUGGGCCUGUAUGCCAGCUCUCACACUCGGGGUUACACCACGAGGAAAAGGAAGCAUCCAUGCUGGAAGAAAGGAGUAUGCGGUGACUCUCAAGGGCCUCGGGCUAUUCUCAGAGGAAAAGUCCUGGCCCUCCGUUAGGUCCUAACAGGCAUCCUCUGCGCCCGGAUGCAGAGAACAAGUUCGUUCACUUCACUCCCUAAGAGGCUUGUGGUUUUGGGGACUGUGGUGCAGGUCAGCCUGGCUCCCGUGUGGGCAGUGGUAAGAGCAAAGUGGAAGGCCGCUCUGGGGCUCUCCGUGUGGGAGGCUGCUGACAAGCACAGCCUCAUCGAGACAUCAAAGGAGGUGAGGUCCUGAGAGACAGGUGGGGAGCACCCAGGUGGGCAGCUGGCUUGAGGCAGGAGGACAGACUGCAGAUGCGGGGUACAGGGUGGCUCUGGAAAGGCACUGGCAGCUGAGUACAGUAGGCUGUGUGCCAAGCAGGUGAGUCCAGCACAUGUGGGGAAGGGCCCCUGGACAGGGUGGGUGUCUGGGGAGAGGCCAGGACGACGUCGGGGGCUGGAAAAUCCCCAGCCAUCUCAGAAAACAGGCAGCACCAGGUAAGAGGGAGUAGAGUGCCAGUCAGGCUGGUCCUGUGGGUAGGAGUGGGGGUGGGCCCACCCCCCUUCAUGGGGCAUCCACGGAGGCCGAUCAGUCCUACACCCUCAGAGCGAGGGCAGGCUGGCCCCGUUUCCGGAGGGCAGGCCUCUUAGGCCUGAGAGGAGA